rnacentral:rRNA from 1 species
GACGAGCGCUGGCGGCGUGCCUAAUACAUGCAAGUUGAGCGAUGAAGAUUGGUGCUUGCACCAAUUUGCAGAGCAGCGAACGGGUGAGUAACGCGUGGGGAAUCUGCCUUUGAGCGGGGGACAACAUUUGGAAACGAAUGCUAAUACCGCAUAAUAACUUUAAACAUAAGUUUUAAGUUUGAAAGAUGCAAUUGCAUCACUCAAAGAUGAUCCCGCGUUGUAUUAGCUAGUUGGUGAGGUAAAGGCUCACCAAGGCGAUGAUACAUAGCCGACCUGAGAGGGUGAUCGGCCACAUUGGGACUGAGACACGGCCCAAACUCCUACGGGAGGCAGCAGUAGGGAAUCUUCGGCAAUGGACGAAAGUCUGACCGAGCAACGCCGCGUGAGUGAAGAAGGGUUUCGGAUCGUAAAACUCUGUUGGUAGAGAAGAACGUUGGUGAGAGUGGAAAGCUCAUCAAGUGACGGUAACUACCCAGAAAGGGACGGCUAACUACGUG